rnacentral:rRNA from 1 species
UACGUAGGGUGCAAGCGUUAAUCGGAAUUACUGGGCGUAAAGCGUGCGUAGGCGGUUUUGUAAGUUUGUCGUGAAAUCCCCGGGCUCAACCUGGGAAUGGCGAUGAAGACUGCAAGGCUAGAAUCUGGCAGAGGGGGGUAGAAUUCCACGUGUAGCAGUGAAAUGCGUAGAGAUGUGGAGGAACACCGAUGGCGAAGGCAGCCCCCUGGGUCAAGAUUGACGCUCAUGCACGAAAGGCGUGGGGAGC